AUUCAGUUGACGAGUCUCAAAUAAGACGAAACAUGCUUCCUAGAU
rnacentral:hammerhead_ribozyme from 1 species